AGUAUAUAAGAGAUGUAGACACUUUGCAUGAUAUUUACAUCUCGACAGAGUUUCGUGAAGUACAUAUUUUAACACUACAAUAUGAAGUUCGCAGCGAUGUUUCUACUAUUCUUCGUGGCUGCAGCCAUGGCCAUGCCAGAGCCGCAACGUAAUAACAUUCAUUACAAGGUCAAUGGCGUCAAUGUGGUCGACGGUCCUCCUACCUCCCGUCCGCCAAACCAAGGAAGCGUAGUUGACCCAGG